GCCGGCGUAGCUCAACGGUAGAGCGGCUCAUUCGUAAUGAGUAGGUUGGGGGUUCAAAUCCCUUCGCCGGCUCCA
rnacentral:tRNA from 1 species